rnacentral:rRNA from 1 species
GACGAACGUUGGCGGCGUGCUUAACACAUGCAAGUCGAACGGAAAGGCCCUGCUUUUGUGGGGUGCUCGAGUGGCGAACGGGUGAGUAACACGUGAGUAACCUGCCCUUGACUUUGGGAUAACUUCAGGAAACUGGGGCUAAUACCGGAUAGGAGCUCCUGCUGCAUGGUGGGGGUUGGAAAGUUUCGGCGGUUGGGGAUGGACUCGCGGCUUAUCAGCUUGAUGGUGGGGUAGUGGCUUACCAAGGCUUUGACGGGUAGCCGGCCUGAGAGGGUGACCGGCCACAUUGGGACUGAGAUACGGCCCAGACUCCUACGGGAGGCAGCAGUGGGGAAUAUUGCACAAUGGGCGGAAGCCUGAUGCAGCAACGCCGCGUGCGGGAUGACGGCCUUCGGGUUGUAAACCGCUUUCGCCUGUGACGAAGCGUGAGUGACGGUAAUGGGUAAAGAAGCACCGGCUAACUACGUGCCAGCAGCCGCGGUGAUACGUAGGGUGCGAGCGUUGUCCGGAUUUAUUGGGCGUAAAGGGCUCGUAGGUGGUUGAUCGCGUCGGAAGUGUAAUCUUGGGGCUUAACCCUGAGCGUGCUUUCGAUACGGGUUGACUUGAGGAAGGUAGGGGAGAAUGGAAUUCCUGGUGGAGCGGUGGAAUGCGCAGAUAUCAGGAGGAACACCAGUGGCGAAGGCGGUUCUCUGGGCCUUUCCUGACGCUGAGGAGCGAAAGCGUGGGGAGCGAACAGGCUUAGAUACCCUGGUAGUCCACGCUGUAAGCGGUGGGUACUAGGUGUGGGGUCCAUUCCACGGGUUCCGUGCCGUAGCUAACGCUUUAAGUACCCCGCCUGGGGAGUACGGCCGCAAGGCUAAAACUCAAAGGAAUUGACGGGGCCCCGCACAAGCGGCGGAGCAUGCGGAUUAAUUCGAUGCAACGCGUAGAACCUUACCUGGGUUUGACAUGGAUCGGGAGUGCUCAGAGAUGGGUGUGCCUCUUUUGGGGUCGGUUCACAGGUGGUGCAUGCCUGUCGUCAGCUCGUGUCGUGAGAUGUUGGGUUAAGUCCCGCAACGAGCGCAACCCUUGUUCACUGUUGCCAGCACGUUAUGGUGGGGACUCAGUGGAGACCGCCGGGGUCAACUCGGAGGAAGGUGGGGAUGACGUCAAGUCCUCAUGCCCCUUAUGUCCAGGGCUUCACGCAUGCUACAAUGGCUGGUACAGAGAGUGGCGAGCCUGUGAGGGUGAGCGAAUCUCGGAAAGCCGGUCUCAGUUCGGAUUGGGGUCUGCAACUCGACCUCAUGAAGUCGGAGUCGCUAGUAAUCGCAAAUCAGCAACGCUGCGGUGAAUACGUUCCCGGG